rnacentral:rRNA from 1 species
AGACGGCAGGCCUAACACAUGCAAGUCGAGCGGCAGCGGGAAAGUAGCUUGCUACUUUUGCCGGCGAGCGGCGGACGGGUGAGUAAUGCCUGGGGAUCUGCCCAGUCGAGGGGGAUAACAGUUGGAAACGACUGCUAAUACCGCAUACGCCCUACGGGGGAAAGCAGGGGACCUUCGGGCCUUGCGCGAUUGGAUGAACCCAGGUGGGAUUAGCUAGUUGGUGAGGUAAUGGCUCACCAAGGCGACGAUCCCUAGCUGGUCUGAGAGGAUGAUCAGCCACACUGGAACUGAGACACGGUCCAGACUCCUACGGGAGGCAGCAGUGGGGAAUAUUGCACAAUGGGGGAAACCCUGAUGCAGCCAUGCCGCGUGUGUGAAGAAGGCCUUCGGGUUGUAAAGCACUUUCAGCGAGGAGGAAAGGUUGGUAGCGAAUAACUGCCAGCUGUGACGUUACUCGCAGAAGAAGCACCGGCUAACUCCGUGCCAGCAGCCGCGGUAAUACCGAGGGUGCAACCGUUAAUCGGAAUUACUGGGCGUAAAGCGCACGCAGGCGGUUGGAUAAGUUAGAUGUGAAAGCCCCGGGCUCAACCUGGGAAUUGC